UACGAAGGGGACUAGCGUUGUUCGGAAUCACUGGGCGUAAAGCGCACGUAGGCGGAUAUGUCAGUCAGGGGUGAAAUCCCGGGGCUCAACCUCGGAACUGCCUUUGAUACAGCAUAUCUUGAGUCCGAUAGAGGUGGGUGGAAUUCCUAGUGUAGAGGUGAAAUUCGUAGAUAUUAGGAAGAACACCGGUGGCGAAGGCGGCUCACUGGACUGGUAUUGACGCUGAGGUGCGAAAGCGUGGGGAGCAAACAGG
rnacentral:rRNA from 1 species